CCUACGGGGGGCAGCAGUGAGGAAUAUUGGGCAAUGGGGGCAACCCUGACCCAGCCAUGCCGCGUGAGUGAAGAAGGUCUUCGGAUUGUAAAGCUCUUUCGGACGUGACGAUGAUGACGGUAGCGUCUAAAGAAGCACCGGCAAACUUCGUGCCAGCAGCCGCGGUAAUACGAAGGGUGCGAGCGUUGUUCGGAAUUACUGGGCGUAAAGGGAGUGUAGGCGGAUAUGUAAGAUAGCGGUGAAAUGCCGGGGCUCAACCCCGGAACUGCCAUUAUGACUAUGUAUCUAGAGUAAUGGAGGGGGAACCGGAAUUCUCGGUGUAGCAGUGAAAUGCGUAGAUAUCGAGAGGAACACUCGUGGCGAAGGCGGGUUCCUGGACAUUAACUGACGCUGAGGCACGAAGGCCAGGGGAGCGAAAGGGAUUAGAUACCCCAGUAGUC
rnacentral:rRNA from 1 species